UACGUAGGGUGCAGGCGUUAAUCGGAAUUACUGGGCGUAAAGCGUGCGCAGGCGGUUUCUUAAGUCAGAUGUGAAAGCCCCGGGCUUAACCUGGGAACUGCGUUUGAAACUGGGAGACUUGAGUGUGGCAGAGGGGGGUGGAAUUCCACGUGUAGCAGAGAAAUGCGUAGAUAUGUGGAGGAACACCGAUGGCGAAGGCAGCCCCCUGGGUUAACACUGACGCUCAUGCACGAAAGCGUGGGGAGCAAACAGG
rnacentral:rRNA from 1 species